rnacentral:rRNA from 1 species
UUCGCCCUUAGAGUUUGAUCCUGGAUCACAGCGAACGCUGGCGGCAGGCUUAACACAUGCGAGUCGAGCGGGCGUAGCAAUACGUCAGCGGCAGACGGGUGAGUAACGCGUGGGAACGUACCUUUUGGUUCGGAACAACACAGGGAAACUUGUGCUAAUACCGGAUAAGCCCUUACGGGGAAAGAUUUAUCGCCGAAAGAUCGGCCCGCGUCUGAUUAGCUAGUUGGUGAGGUAACGGCUCACCAAGGCGACGAUCAGUAGCUGGUCUGAGAGGAUGAUCAGCCACAUUGGGACUGAGACACGGCCCAAACUCCUACGGGAGGCAGCAGUGGGGAAUAUUGGACAAUGGGGGCAACCCUGAUCCAGCCAUGCCGCGUGAGUGAUGAAGGCCCUAGGGUUGUAAAGCUCUUUUGUGCGGGAAGAUAAUGACGGUACCGCAAGAAUAAGCCCCGGCUAACUUCGUGCCAGCAGCCGCGGUAAUACGAAGGGGGCUAGCGUUGCUCGGAAUCACUGGGCGUAAAGGGUGCGUAGGCGGAUCUUUAAGUCAGAGGUGAAAGCCUGGAGCUCAACUCCAGAACUGCCUUUGAUACUGGGGAUCUUGAGUUCGGGAGAGGUGAGUGGAACUGCGAGUGUAGAGGUGAAAUUCGUAGAUAUUCGCAAGAACACCAGUGGCGAAGGCGGCUCACUGGCCCGAUACUGACGCUGAGGCACGAAAGCGUGGGGAGCAAACAGGAUUAGACACCCUGGUAGUCCACGCCGUAAAC